rnacentral:misc_RNA from 1 species
GAUAAAGAACGCAGCGAAAUGCGAUAAGUAAUGUGAAUUGCAGAAUUCAGUGAAUCAUCGAAUCUUUGAACGCACAUUGCGCCCCUUGGUAUUCCGAGGGGCAUGCCUGUUCGAGCGUCAUUUGACCAAUCAAGCCUGGCUUGGUAUUGGGGCUCGCUCUCCAGCGUCCUCUAAACACAGUGGCGGUGCCGUUAGGCUCUAAGCGUAGUAAUUCUUCUCGCUAUAGGGUCUUGCGGUUGCUUGCCAUAACCCAAAUUUUUAAGGUUGACCUCGGAUCAGGUAGGGAUACCCGCUGAACUUAAGCAUAUCAAUAAGCGGAGGA